GAUGUGUUUUACAAAAUUGAAUCUGCCUUUUGAGAUGAGUUUUAACACGUUGAAGUGGUUUAAGAAUGUUCAGGAGGAACGGUCUAAGUAUGGUACUCAUGAUUAACAAUGAUAAGAGAAAACUUAAUGGUAAAACAAACACACUUAUGCAAAAAUAAUUUCAAUUAGCAAAAGAAUAAUAAAAAGAAAGAAAGAAAAAUCAAACCACCGAAAAGAAAAAAAAAUCAAUUCAAAUCUUGUGGGUCACUCAAAUUUAUUUCGGUGUCUUCUCCAUGUGGUUGGUACUCUAGAUAUGGCUUUAAUCUUUGACCAUUAACUUUAAAUGUGA
rnacentral:lncRNA from 1 species